AUUGAACGCCGGCGGCAGGCUUAACACAUGCAAGUCGAGCGGGGUGAUGGUGCUUGCACUAUCACUUAGCGGCGGACGGGUGAGUCAUGCUUAGGAAUAUGCCUAUUAGUGGGGGACAACAUCUCGAAAGGAAUGCUAAUACCGCAUACGUCCUACGGGAGAAAGCAGGGGAUCACUUGUGACCUUGCGCUAAUAGAUGAGCCUAAGUCGGAUUAGCUAGUUGGUGGGGUAAAGGCCUACCAAGGCGACGAUCUGUAGCGGGUCUGAGAGGAUGAUCCACCACACUGGGACUGAGACACGGCCCAGACUCCUACGGGAGGCAGCAGUGGGGAAUAUUGGACAAUGGGGGGAACCCUGAUCCAGCCAUGCCGCGUGUGUGAAGAAGGCCUUAUGGUUGUAAAGCACUUUAAGCGAGGAGGGGGCUCUUUUGGUUAAUACCCAAGAUGAGUGGACGUUACUCGCAGAAUAAGCACCGGCUAACUCUGUGCCAGCCGCCGCCGUAA
rnacentral:rRNA from 1 species